UACAGAGGCCACGAGCGUUAAUCGGAAUCACUGGGCUUAAAGGGUGCGUAGGCUGGUUUGCAAGUGCUUUGUGAAAGCCCUAGGCUCAACCUAGGAAUUGCUUGGCAGACUGCAAAUCUUGAGGCAGACAGAGGCCGCUGGAACUCUAGGUGGAGCGGUGAAAUGCGUAGAUAUCUAGAGGAACGCCAAUGGUGAAGACAGGCGGCUGGGUCUGUUCUGACGCUGAGGCACGAAAGCGUGGGGAGCAAAC
rnacentral:rRNA from 1 species